rnacentral:rRNA from 1 species
AUGGGCGAGAGCCUGAACAGCCAAGUCGCGCGAAGGAAGAACGUUCUAUGGAUUGUAAACUUCUUUUAUAAGGGAAUAAAAAAGAGUACGUGUACUCUAUUGUAUGUACUUUAUGAAUAAGGAUCGGCUAACUCCGUGCCAGCAGCCGCGGUAAUACGGAGGAUCCAAGCGUUAUCCGGAUUUACUGGGUGUAAAGGGCGUGUAGGCGGCUCCGCAAGUCAGAUGUGAAAUUCCCAGGCUUAACCUGGGCGCUGCAUCUGAAACUGCGGAACUUGAGUACUGGAGAGGAUAGUGGAAUUCCUAGUGUAGCGGUAAAAUGCGUAGAUAUUAGGAGGAACACCGGUGGCGAAGGCGACUAUCUGGACAGUAACUGAAGCUGAGGCGCGAAAGCGUGGGGAGCAAACAACAGGAUUAGAUACCCUGGUUAGUCCACGCAGUAAACGAUGAAUACUAGCUGUAUGCGAUAUACUGUAUGUGGCAAAGCGAAAGCGUUAAGUAUUCCACCUGGGGAGGUACGUUCGCAAGAAUGAAACUCAAAGGAAUUGACGGGGGCCCGCACAAGCGGAGGAACAUGUGGUUUAAUUCGAUGAUACGCGAGGAACCUUACCCGGGCUUGAAAUGCAGACGACCGACGAGGAAACUUGUCUUCCAGCAAUGGCGUCUGUGUAGGUGCUGCAUGGGUUGUCGUCAGCUCGGGUCCCGUGAGGUGUCGGCUUAAGUGCCAUAACGAGCGCAACCCCUAUUGAUAGUUACUAACAGGUUAAGCUGAGGACUCUAUUGAGACUGCCACCGUAAGGUGUGGGGAAGGUGGGGAUGACGUCAAAUCAGCACGGCCCUUACGUCCGGGGGCGAACACACGUGUUACAAUGGGGGGGUACAGAGGGUUGCUACUUGGUGGACAAAGAUGCUAAUCUUCUUUAAAAAGCCCCUCUCUCCAGUUCGGAUCGAAGUCUGCAACUCGACUUCGUGGAAAAAGCUGGGAUUCGCUAGUCAAUCGCGCAUCAGC